GCUGCAGCUGCCACCGCCGUAGCCGCAGCUCCUCCUUUCCCUUCUCUUCUUCUCCUCUUCUUCUUCCCUCCUCCUCCCCGGCAUCACACACACCCUCUCCUCUGUUUCCUCUGCAGGAAACAGAGGUAUCACAACCUCUUCUUCUUCUCUUCCUCUUUUUCUUCUUCUCCGCUUCGAACGCCCCACACCUCUCCUCUGUUUCCACCUGCAGGAAACAGAGGUGCUGUAGCCCUAGCCGCUGCAGCUAUCUCUCUUCCCUCUCCCUCUUCCCUCUCUUCUUCUUCUUCUUUUCUUCUCUUCUCCCUCUUCUUCCUCUCUUCUUUUCCCUCUUCUUCUUCUUUUCUUCUCUUCUCCCUCUACUUCUCUUCUUCUUCUCCCCACGCCCCACAGCUUCUCUCUCUGUUUCGGGAACAGAGAAUGUGGGAGGC
rnacentral:lncRNA from 1 species